rnacentral:rRNA from 1 species
ACCGUAGUAAUUCUGGAGCUAAUACAUGCAACGACGCCCGACCGUUUCACUACGGAAGGGCUGUAUUUAUUGGAUACCAAAACCAUCCUUCCCUCGGGAAGUUUUGUUUGAUGAUUCACAAUAACUGAUCGGAUCGCCACUGUGGUGGCGACAGGUCAUUCAACAUUCUGCCCUAUCAGCUUUCGAUGGUUGUGUAGUGGACAACCAUGGCCAUAACGGGUAACGGAGAAUCAGGGUUCGAUUCCGGAGAAGGAGCUUGAGAAUUGGCUACUACAUCUAAGGAAGGCAGCAGGCGCGCAAAUUACCCAAUCCCGAUUCGGGGAGGUAGUGACAAAAAAUAACAAUACCGGGCCUUUUUGGGCUUGGUAAUUGGAAUGAGGGAGAGUUAAACGGACCAUCGAGUAUCCAUUGGAGGGCAAGUCUGGUGCCAGCAGCUGCGGUAAUACCAGCUCCAAUAGCGUAUAUUAAAGUUGUUGCAGUUAAAAAGCUCGUAGUUGGACUUGUGUGCGCUGUCCGCGGGUGGCCUGCGCCCAAAAGGGCGUUUCGGUUCGGCCCCGGUGGCGCCUUGAAAUCUGCAGCUGGGGGGACGUUGGCCUUAACUGGUCGGCGACCGCACGCCGGCUGCUCGGUUACUGUGAGAAAAUUAGAGUGUUCAAGGCAGGCAUUGGGUGCAAUUGAAUACAUUAGCAUGGAAUAAUAAAAUAUGGCUCCUGCCGUACUUUGUUGGUUUUGACUGGUGGGAGUAAUGAUUGAUAGGGACGGUUGGGGGUGCUAGUAUUGAGCGGCCAGAGGUGAAAUUCAUGGAUUCGCUCAAGACUAACUUAUGCGAAAGCAUUCACCAAGGACGUCCUCUUUAAUCAAGAACGAAAGUUGGGGGAUCGAAGACGAUCAGAUACCGUCGUAGUCUCAACCAUAAACUAUGUCGACUUGGGAUCGGCGGUAGUUUUUUCAUUAAGACACUGUCGGGACCACGGGAGAAAUCAAAGUGUCUGGACUCUGGGGGAAGUAUGGUCGCAAGGCUGAAACUUGAAGGAAUUGACGGAAGGGCACCACCAGGAGUGGAGCCUGCGGCUUAAUUUGACACAACACGGGGAAACUUACCAGGUCCAGAGAUGUAGAGGAUUGACAGAUUGAAGCUCUUUCUUGAUCACUUCGGUGGUGGUGCAUGGCCGUUCUUAGUUGGUGGAGUGAUUUGUCUGGUUAAUUCCGUUAACGAACGAGACCUCAGCCUGCUAGUGUAGUCGGCUGGAUUGCG